AUUCCAGCUCCAAUAGCGUAUAUUAAAGUUGUUGCAGUUAAAACGCUCGUAGUCGGAUUUCGGGGCGGGCCGACCGGUCUGCCGAUGGGUAUGCACUGGCCGGCGCGUCCUUCCACCCGGAGACCGCGCCUACUCUUAACUGAGCGGGCGCGGGAGACGGGUCUUUUACUUUGAAAAAAUCAGAGUGUUUCAAGCAGGCAGUCGCUCUUGCAUGGAUUAGCAUGGGAUAAUGAAAUAGGACUCUGGUGCUAUUUUGUUGGUUUCGAACACCGGAGUAAUGAUUAAUAGGGACAGUUGGGGGCAUUCAUAUUCCAUUGUCAGAGGUGAAAUUCCUGGAUUAACGGAAGAUGAACUUCUGCGAAAGCAUCUGCCAAGGAUGUUUUCAUUG
rnacentral:rRNA from 1 species